rnacentral:misc_RNA from 1 species
GGGGCUGUAGCUCAGCUGGGAGAGCACCUGCUUUGCAAGCAGGGGGUCAGCGGUUCGAUCCCGCUCAGCUCCACCAUUCGAUUGGUGUUGAACUGGCGGACAUUAUCCUUGGAGAAAAAAUAGGUUUGCAUCGUCUCCAUCGUGAGACGGAUGCCUGUUCUGCUUACAUUGUGAAGAGAAGAUAUGUCUGGAAGCUUCCAGGUGUUGAUGGUGAUCGAAAGGUUGCCUGAGACGUCCGAGCCCAGUCCCGAAGAAGCCAUGGAUGGUCUAGCCGACCGGAAGUGGAAGAGGGUCUGGAGGUAGGAGGGAAGUCUUGUCCUUGAGGCAUGAUCGUUGUUGGGGUGUUCUUCGGAACGCGCCUCUGAUGGUCGUGUCGGAUUGGUGUUGCCUGACCGCGCAUCACCGGACAGAUCUCGAGAAGCUGGUCUUAAGAUAUGGCCUCGAAGUCGCUCGGCGUGACUUUUGUGAGGACCAUAUCGAACACGUCGAUGGCAUUGUUGGAAAGCGCGAUUGUAAAGGGUAAUCGCGCAUAGCUGGUCUGGCGACUGCAAGGUCUCCGGAUUUUGGCUGCUGCGGCAUACGAAAGUUGCCCGGAUGGCCAGAUUUGGCACCCCUUCGAGCGCAAGCGAGGAGGAUAGGUU